rnacentral:rRNA from 1 species
GGGCCCGCACAAGCGGCGGAGCAUGUGGCUUAAUUCGAAGCAACGCGAAGAACCUUACCAAGGCUUGAAAUGUACGGAAAAGCCACAGAGAUGUGGUGUCCUUAGGGGCCGUACACAGGUGGUGCA